GUCAAUCAUCAUGCCCCUUAUGACCUGGGCUACACACGUGCUACAAUGGUUGGUACAACGAGUUGCGAGUCGGUGACGGCGAGCUAAUCUCUUAAAGCCAAUCUCAGUUCGGAUUGUAGGCUGCAACUCGCCUACAUGAAGUCGGAAUCGCUAGUAAUCGCGGAUCAGCACGCCGCGGUGAAUACGUUCCCGGGCCUUGUACACACCGCCCGUCACACCACGAGAGUUUGUAACACCCGAAGUCGGUGAGGUAACCUUUUGGAGCCAGCCGCCUAAGGUGGGACAGAUGAUUGGGGUGAAGUCGUAACAGGGUAACCGUAAG
rnacentral:rRNA from 1 species